rnacentral:rRNA from 1 species
AUUGAACGCUGGCGGCAGGCUUAACACAUGCAAGUCGAGCGAGCGGCGGACGGGUGAGUAAUGUCUGGGAAACUGCCUGAUGGCGGGGGAUAACUACUGGAAACGGUAGCUAAUACCGCAUACCAUCAGAUGUGCCCAGAUGGGAUUAGCUAGUAGGUGGGGUAAUGGCUCACCUAGGCGACGAUCCCUAGCUGGUCUGAGAGGAUGCCCGGGCACACUGGAACUGAGAGACGGUCCAGAAUCCUACGGGAGGCAGAAGGGGGGAAUAUUGCACAAUGGGCGCAGGCCUGAUGCAGCCAUGCCGCGUGUGUGAAGAAGGCCUUCGGGUUGUAAAGCACUUUCAGCGAGGAGGCGUUGCUCGCAGAAGAAGCACCGGCUAACUCCGUGCCAGCAGCCGCGGUAAUUC